rnacentral:rRNA from 1 species
GCGGCUUAAUUUGACUCAACGCGGGGUAAUUUACCAGGUAUAACAUGGUGUAAUAUUUUAUCAUGAUAGUGGUGCAUGGCCGUUUCCAAUGGAUGCUGUGAAGUAAUGAUUAAUUUCAACAAGAUGUGAGACCCUCAAUUAGACAGAUGUAGUGAUACAUAUGAAGGAGAGGAUUAAAACAGGUCCGUUAUGCCCUAAGAUAAUCUGGGUUGCACGCGCAAUACAAUAAUAUUUGAUAUUAUAAGGGAUAAUAUAAUGUAAGAUAUAUUUGAACAUGGAAUUGCUAGUAAAUUUUAUUUAAUAAGUAGAAUUGAAUGAGUCCCUGUUCUUUGUACACACCGCCCGUCGCUAUCUAAGAUGGUAUUAUCUAUGAACAAAUUUAUAAAGUGAAUAGAUAGUACUAGAUCUGAUAUAAGUCGUAACAUGGUUGCUGUUGGAGAACCAUUAGCAGGAUCAUAA